GACGAACGCUGGCGGCGUGCCUAAUACAUGCAAGUCGAACGGUUUAGUUCCAAGAGGCUUGCCUUUUGGAACUAGACAGUGGCGGACGGGUGAGUAACACGUAGGCAACCUACCUGUCAAACCGGGAUAACCUCGGGAAACCGAAGCUAAACCCGGAUAAGCUCCUUUUUCGCAUGAAGGGGGAGUGAAAAGGUGCGACCUGAUGACAGAUGGGCCUGCGGCGCAUUAGCUAGUAGGUAGGGUAACGGCCUACCUAGGCGAUGAUGCGUAGCCGACCUGAGAGGGCGUACGGCCACACUGGGACUGAGAUACGGCCCAGACUCCUACGGGAGGCAGCAGUAGGGAAUCUUCGGCAAUGGGCGAAAGCCUGACCGGGCAACGCCGCGUGAGUGAGGAAGGCCUUCGGGUUGUAAAACUCUGUUGUUUGGGAAGAAGGGAAAGGGUAGGACCCUUAGGUGACGGUACCAAACGAGAAAGCCCCGGCUAACUACGUG
rnacentral:rRNA from 1 species